CACACACACAAGGCGGAGGCGGGAAUCGAACCCCCAACGCUGGAGGAGUGAGGCGAACGUGCUAACCACUAAGCCACCGUGCCCCCACUUAUAAAUAAUUUUCUGUUAAUUUACAAAUAUUAAUAUGUAAAGUGGUGUUACUCUUACCAUCCAGAUUUUGAGAAUUUUCCAAUAACAGCACGUAACCCAACAUAUUUUUACAUCCAUCUGUGUCUUGUGCUUUUUUACUUAUUUCAUUUAACAUUUAUCCAGGAAUCAUUAAAUAAGAUGGAAAUAUUUUACAACGGAGUUUUUAAAAAAAUAGCGCAACUAGUGGAAAAUACGGGGCAACUAGUGUACAAAAUACAGGGAAUGUUGCCCCCACCAAUGUCAAAUAAAUUAUGUCCCCACCAAUGUCAAAUAAAUUAUGUCCCCACCAAUGUCAAAAUCAAACUUUCGCCAUUGUCAGUGGUUAUGUAUAAAUAUACAUAGGCUUGGUCGAAUUAUUGCUAGGGACAAUUGAGUGUUCCCUGGAUAUUGGUAGGGACAUGUCCCUACCGUCCCUACCCAAAUCGACGCCCUUGCAUAAUACACCACAGCGAUUAGGUAUUUUAAACAUUCCUAUUAUAAUUCUAAGCUUAAUAAUGAUCAACAAACAUGUUAAACUUUUUAUCUAUAUAUAGUUACAGGAAAUGCUGUUUAAUGUCCACAGCAUUGUUAAGGGGAUCAUGAGGCGCAGCUUGGCAACACUUCACUCACAACCUUUCAUUACCAUUUAAUCAUCAUCAUCAUAAUUAAUAACAAUAAUAAUUUAGUUAUUUACCCAGUUCACUUUCUUUUAUUUAUUUAUGCCCAGUUAACUUUUAAGACAGUGGACAUGCUAUUCCCCGGAAUUUGAGAUACAUCCUACUGGUCAUACUUUAGUCAUGCAUAUUCCAACAUAUUGCCCCGCCUACUAGCUCAAAUAUCCCCUCUUCUGCUUUAAGUGCUGUUCACCCGAGGAAAGGCAAGACCAGUCUGUGCUGCUUUGUAAAAAUGGACUAAAAAACAUUCACACUCUUUUUUUUUACUGCUUACAAUCAGGCAGCCUGGAGAACAUCAGAAACACUGAAGUAUGAGGACAGAGUGGAGAAACAACACAAGGCACACCAAUUUGUCACAGGUCAUCCCUCCUGCCCCUGCAUGGCUUCCCAUUACUUCAGAGAGAAACAGUUCACUUGUAGCAUCUCCGACCCCAGUCACUGAGAAACCCAGACCAAGUGGGAUUGUCCAAGGUUUGGUAGCUGCAGGGAUCUUUAUUAUCUUGCUGCUGGCCCUCUACACUGCCUUGUGGAAAUGCAUGGUGUCUCCCCCACAAAGGGGGAAAAGGAACCGGAUCUUAAAGGGAAGAAAAACAACAUUUUUAUAAGCAAACUUUUUUCAGGGACGUUAUGGAACAGAAGUUGUGGUUUAUUAAAACAAAAAAUUCUCAAAUGACCUGCAAUGUUCUUCAGGAAUUAGACUGUGUGUGCACUAGCCAGGGGAAGAAAACAGAAGUGCACUAUCAACUCCACUAGAUGGCAGCACUGUGUAUGAUUUGCUGGAGUUUUCUGGCCUUCUGGAUUGAAAUAAAACAAUAAAAACACUGUGCUUUAUUUCAAGGGAAAUUUCAAUCACAGCUUUUUCACUUUCCCCCUCAAUGCCUUGGAAAUGAUUAUAAAAUAAUAUAUAUGAAGUGUUAGAUGACAUAACAGGAACAAAGGGUCGAAGAGCAUAAACUCUUCUUGUAUGGAAUUUCCCUUGGCAGCCAGUGCGAUGUAUAUAAAUUAUUUCCUUUUGGAUAGAAUUUAAUUACAAGCCCAAUCACGUAGUAAGAUUUUGGCAGGGCAAACAGAGAGUAGUUAACGAAAUCGAUCCUGUAGAUUCACGCAGCCUAUCAGCAACAGUCCAGUCAUGUUAGGUCAUUACACAGAGUGAUGCCAAUUAAAGUUGGGGUAAUAGAGGUGGGUUAAUAUAUUUUUUUUUAGCACGAAUAUCUGUAAUGAGGUGGAGGAAAAGCUGGAUGGAUGAAUUAAACUUUUCUUCUAUUUGAAAAAACUUUGUAUUUGGAAAAACAUACCAUGUUCUAAAGUCAUUAGAACAUUCAAACUCAUUAACGUAGCUGCUGAUCUGUCUUAAAGUGUGUGUGUGUGUGUGUGUGUGUGUGUGUGUGUGUGUGUGUGUGUGUGUGUGUGUGUGUGUGUGUGUGUGUGUGUGUGUGUGUGGGUAAAAAAUCUAGAAAUAGCACUUUACAUGCAAUGAGUAAGAUUUCAUCUGAACAGAAACGGCCCCAAAGAUGGUGGCAGGGAUUUGAUGAAGGGAAAGUCAGCAAGUUUUUUUUAAAACAGCAUCAGUACACUGGGGUAUUUUCUUCCAAACAUCCCCUUUGCCCGUGUUAACUCUGCACUCCACACAUACUGUGUGAAUGUGUGUGUGAAUGUGUGUGUGUGUGUGUGUGUGUGUGUGUGUGUGUGUGUGUGUGUGUGUGUGUGUGUGUGUGUGUGUGUGUGUGUGUGUGAGAUCCUUCAGAGCACUUGAGCAUAGUUCUUAUGUUACAUGUUAGGAGGUUGGUAAAAAAAAGAUUUAACAGUUUUAUUCGAUUGCGUUUAAUAUAUUCUAUACUAAUUCAAAUGUAGAUUCACUUCACUAAUAAAGGAUUGAGACAUUAUAUUAUAAUGUGAUAUUGUUAAAAGCUUUUCAUGAAGUCUCAUAUGUUCAUGAUAUUACACCUUGAUUUACUAACUUUCCAAAUAAAAAGUAUAAGGAUUUGUUAUGAUAGAUAGAUAGAUAGAUAGAUAGAUAGAUAGAUAGAUAGAUAGAUAGAUAGAUAGAUAGAUAGAUAGAUAGAUAGAUAGAUAGAUAGAUAGAUAGAUGGUGAAAAAGGUAUGGUAUAAAUAUCUUCUCAAAUCUUUGUGCUUUGUGAUGAUAACUGCUACCUAAGUAUAUAUAUGUUACAUGUUGCAAUCUUCCCUUUCACCUGAUGGUGGCGGUAGAUUACCUUUGUUAACAACUUAGCUAAACCAACAGAAUCGAUUUUUUUUAUUUUAUCCCUCCAAAAACCGGCAGGGCGUAAAGAAUAUGGGUGCAGGUUUUCAUAUUAAUCAAGCAGGGACCUCACCUGAUUUCACCUGUUUAAUCAGUGGCUCUAAAUAGACGGUUUGUCAUCUUCUUGGUUGGAUUAACAACCUGCACCCACACUGGACCUUUCCAGAUAAGAUUGGACUCUGUGCUAAAAUCGUUUAAUUAACGUGAUCAGUGUCAUCUGUUCCAAAAGGAAGAGCAAAUUUAUGAAUUUCAUCAUGUGUGCCUCAAUUACAGAUGUUAAUCGAUACCCUCACUGUAUUGCGAGCCCGACUAAUUCGAAAAAAGUUUGUACACCCCUGGUCUGGUCUGUCUGUAUACUUUUGUGACUUUUGGUCUGUCUGUAUACUUUUGUGUCUUUAAAUUUUUGUGAUUUUUAGCUCCAGGCCUCAGUUCCUUAUUCCUACGUUUGACCAUUUUUAUUACUCUGUUAGAUUAUGGAUUACAUAAAUUACACCAACUGUGGAUUUGGUUCAUUGUUUUUGGCUGAUGCGUCCUUUCUGUAUGUCCUCCCUAUAUAUUAUAUAUAAAUGCAAGGUAGAUUUAUGAGGUUACAGUUCACCUUGAUAAACACAGUGCAGGCAGGCAGAUAAUAACGAUUGCACAAUCGCACACCCACAAAUGGUCCGGUCCUGUUACGUCUUUUAUUAGAUCUCUGUCUUAACGACUAUCAGCAGUUUGACUGUUUUGCACUCACAUACACAGAGACACAAAUAACCAGAGUGCAUUUCUCAUCAAGAUAAUCUAUUCCAUGACACAAACAGCAGGCUCAAUUCCAUGGAGUGUAUGGUAGCAGUAGUGUUUUAGGGGGAAAAAAAGAAGAAGAAGGAAAAAAAAACAUUAUAUGCAAAUGUCAUGGAGUGACGUAAAAUACAGUACAACGAACAAAAGAUAAAAUGUUUAAAAAAAAAAAAAAGAAGAAGAAGAAGAAGUAAUUU